AUUAAUACAAAGAGAAAAAAAAAGACAUUAGGCAGUACCAAACUCAUCGUACCUCAGGCUUUUUUUUUCCAAAGCAAACCAACAAUUUUAUUACUUCCUUGAAAAAACAAACCGCAGGAAGGUUCCAAAAACAUCAGUAUAAGGAACGGCGACGGCUGUGGCAAGGCAGACGCAAAGGCGGCGAACGACUCUUGAGAGUACCUGGCAGCGCGAUUGAGAAGCACUGGGGACAUUGUGGCGCACCUUGACGGUGCUGUCGGCAGCGGGGUUGAUUGGAGGAUUCCUUCAUUGCUCGAACUCAGGGGAGACUGAGACCGAAAAUUAAAAUAGGAGGGAGUUAGGGUAUAGUUUUAAAUUUAGGGGUAUUUUAGUAAUUUUAAAAUUUUAGUCUCUAGUUUAAUUUCAAACCAAACAUGAUAUUGAGACAUAAAUUCA